rnacentral:rRNA from 1 species
GAGUAAAGAUUUCGGUCGCUUUGGGAGGAGCUCGCUUACUAUCAGCUUGUUGGUAGGGUAAUGGCCUACCAAGGCUAUGACGGUUAGGGGGUGUGAGAGCAUGACCCCCAGCAUUGGCACUGAAACACUGGCCAAACACCUACGGGUGGCUGCAGUCGAGAAUCUUCCACAAUGGGGGAAACCCUGAUGGAGCGAUGCUGCGUGCGGGAUGAAGGCCUUCGGGUUGUAAACCGCUUUUGUAGGGGACGAAAUUUUUGACGGUACCCCUUCGAAUAAGAGGUUGCUAACUCUGUGCCAGCAGCAGCGGUAAUACAGAGACCUCAAGCGUUAUCCGGAUUUACUGGGCGUAAAGCGUCUGUAGGGGGUUUAUUAAGUUCCAAGUAAAAUUUCAAGGCUCAACUUUGAAUUCGCUUGGAAAACUAAUAAACUGGAGUCUAGCAGAGGUGCAUGGAACUUGUGGUGUAGGAGUGAAAUCCGUUGAUAUCACAAGGAACACCAAAGGCGAAGGCAUUGCACUGGGCUAGCACUGACCCUGAGAGACGAAAGCGUGGGGAGCAAAACGGAUUAGAUACCCGUGUAGUCCACGCCCUAAACGAUGAAUGCUAAAUGUUCGGGGAUUCGACCCCCUGGGUGUUACAGCUAACGCGUUAAGCAUUCCGCCUGGGAAGUACGGCCGCAAGGCUAAAACUCAAAGGAAUAGACGGGGAUCCGCACAAGCGGUGGAGCGUCUGGUUUAAUUCGACAGUAAGCGUGGUACCUCACCAGGGUUUGACAUCCCUUGACAGCCUUGGAAACAAGGUUUCCUUCGGGCAAGGUGACAGGUGCUGCAUGGUCGUCGUCAGUUCGUGCCGUGAGGUGUUCCGUUAAGUCGGGAAACGAACGAAACCCCUAUUGCAUGUUACAAUUUCUCAUGCAAGACUGCCCGGAUAUACUGGGAGGAAGGUGGGGAUGACGUCAGAUCUGCAUGGUCCUUAUACCCUGGGCGACACAGGCGCUACAAUGGCAGAGACAAAGGGUUGCAAAACCGCAAGGUGAAGCUAAUCCCAAAAACUUUGUCUAAGUUCGGAUUGAAGGCUGCAAUUCGCCUUCAUGAAGCUGGAAUCGCUAGUAAUCGUGAAUCAGCCACGUCACGGUGAAUAUGUUCCCGGAUCUUGUACUCACCGCCCGUCACACCAAGAGAGUUGGUAGCUCCCGA